rnacentral:rRNA from 1 species
UACGAAGGGGGCUAGCGUUGUUCGGAAUUACUGGGCGUAAAGCGCACGUAGGCGGAUAUUUAAGUCAGGGGUGAAAUCCCGGGGCUCAACCCCGGAACUGCCUUUGAUACUGGGUAUCUAGAGUCCGGAAGAGGUGAGUGGAAUUCCGAGUGUAGAGGUGAAAUUCGUAGAUAUUCGGAGGAACACCAGUGGCGAAGGCGGCUCACUGGUCCGAUACUGACGCUGAGGCGCGAAAGCGUGGGGAGCAAACAGG